CAGUCAUUUUUGCACGUUUAUUCAAUCAGAAAACUCAGAUGAUUUCUUUUUUUGAAUUAAAUUUGCAAUUGAAAUUCGAAAUCUGUUGGUUGACAUUUUUUUAGUCUUACGGAGAGAUUACGGAGUUAUUGAUGGACAGUGUCCAGUCGAUGGCCCGGUCUACAGAAUAAAGAAAAAUAACCACAAUGUAUCACGCCUUUACCCCUGAGAAGCGUUCUUACCUCUCUGUCAAAGGUGAAUGUAAAAUGAGGGGAGGAAUGGAUGAGCGAUGGAUAAAUUCUCUCGGCGAGUAGUUGUAAUAAUUCAACGAACUAUUCUCACGUGAUUGUUGUCAUCCACGUGGAAUUCGAUGGCGCACGCACUGCGGAAUUUAAUAUUAGCGUCAGUGGAUGGAAAACGCCUCUCAUUUCAGCUCUACAUUCCGUAAUAUGCCUCUGACAUCACGAACACUUGCAUGUCCCAAUUAUCUCGAUCACCUUUCCGAAGCCGGGGCGUCGCAACAUUCGACAUUUCUUAUCAGCUGGCUAAAUCAUCGAAUUAAAAAUAUCAUUCAAUACAUAUUUUUUCCUUUAUCACACACGUAAACCGGUUUUCUCGACUCAGUCGUUAACAUUAGGGUAAAUCCCAGGUGAAAUCAUACAUCUCAAAAGCAACGGAAUUUCUAUUAUCAGUUGAUUGAAGUAGUCACGAAAAAUUUUGCACAAUUCCAUUUUAUUAAUUCAUCAAUAAAAUGAACACAUGAUUUAAUUCAGUCUAGCGAAUUGCCUUUUAUUUAUUUCUAAGAGCCACAAUUCAAUGGAAUUAUUUGAAAGAGUCAGAAAUAAUGAACAAAUUCAAUGACAAUGAUGUUAAUAAAAAGAGAAUAACGUUAAAAUGACGAAUCAGAGAACAGCUUGGUCUUCACGAUGAACUUGACGUGAAGAUGUGGAAAAUCAUUUAUUAAAUUGGAUCUGUUAACUCGAUAAA